AUGGAUUUGAUGGGCACCCUGGAUCAAGCAAUGGAUGCAUGGUCGGGAUGCAUGGAGAAGCGCCAUGACAUCUUGCGGAAAGCUUCACCUGUACUCAAAGAGACGGAAGAAUACUUCAUGCCCAGAAGCUUACCUGUGCAACUGCAAGUCAUUAUGGGCUCUGGCUUGGUUGACCUUAGUUGUGAUUCUGGCUGGGACGGUGCUAGCAGUUGUAGAACUACGGUAGGAUUGGAUGAGCACCAGACAGUGGUCACAGGAACUCUUUGGAAGACCAUGUUUCAGUCGUCUUAUUCUCAAACACCCUAA
rnacentral:rRNA from 1 species